CAGAUAUGGAGAGGAGUGGAAGGAGGAAAGUAAGAGAGAAAUGGAGAUGGAUCUCUACUGCGAGAUAGAUAUAAAGCCAAACUAUAGGAAAGAGGUUUUGUGAGAAAAUGACCAAAUAUGGCUUCUACUCGAUCAACAGCUUGUUUGGUUGUGCGGCGUGUUUUUUUUUUUGGGAUUUUUACAUAUACAUCCAUAUAGUAAACCUUAUAACCACUCAUGUUUAAGGUUUGUAUUUAUUACUUUUUAGUAUACC
rnacentral:lncRNA from 1 species